UUAAAUUAUUUCUUAUUUGCAUCUAGUUUUUACUUCUAUUAGCAGAAACUAACAGUAACAAAGUGAUUCUAAUCUACCUGAGAUGUAAAGCCCAGGAUAUAACCUGAGUACUAAGAUACACACAAUCUUGAGAAGCUCUGUGAAGGCUGCAGGGGAUUUCAGUGUGUAAAGCAUCUUAGAGUUAAACCUCUUAGGAAGUCAACUGCUGUUUCGCCUGCAGUGAUGAAUGAGAAAGGAUGACUUUCAACUGCCAACCUGGGCAGAUGCAAACGAUGGUGGGGAAGACAGUUUAGAAUCCCAAGAGCAAAGAGGCUGAAGCCAUCUUCACUCUGGCGGCAAAGAUGUAGGUGGCCAGAGGGGGCCUCAGGAUUGACAAUGAAGUGAAAAAAACGGCAAGACAGCCUUUUCGAAGAUAGAACUAAAAUUAACAGUGAGGAAGAUUUACUUUAAAAAAAAAAAAAAAGGACUCUAUUUCUGCCUGACGUCUCCAGCUUCACUUGAGAGCAGAGGACAGGGGAGCAGAGCAGUACCGUCGAUGGCCACCAGGAUGGCCGUCUGGCCUUUCGUCUCGUGAUCGGUCAUCGCGUCGCUGACGUCGCUGGUGACGGUCAAGCCGUUGCGCCUCAUCCACUCCCGGCUGCCGAUCAGCACAGAGAAGGUCUGUGGGACCGCAUCUGCUCAAGGGAGUGUGUGGUUAUUCCCAAAGAGGCCAAGUUCACGGGGAGAAAGCACUAAAAACCAUGGGAUGGUUUCAACAGCAAAACGUCCACUUGACGGUUCUGGAAAAACCACAACCUAAUAAACACCUCUUGAAAAACCAUCCUUAAAGAACCAGGGGGAAAAGAAUAACUAACAUGCAGAACCGCGGUAUGAAUUAAAACAUGUAAAGAUGUUACAAACAUAUUAAACACCGCAUAGUGUACCUACUGGCCUUUAGGGGUAUCUGCUGAUGCCGUUAGAUUGGAUUAGAAUUAGGAUUAGAAGCGGUUAGUUAUUUGGUCAGUGCCGAAAGCCAGUGUGGACUAGACCCAUCACUGCUUGGUACAGAUGAUGCAAGGUGAAUCAGCUAACAACCGGCCACCGUGUAUGAAAGGUCUUGAAGCUAUACCUCCUAAGAGGCCAGCUGAGUCCUGCACCUGUCCCCUCUACCUUAGGUGUCACUAUAGACCAGUCCCUGGAAGGCAAAGGAAAGGUCAUCCCAGGGCUUUAACUUGCCAUAAGGUGGUAAUAGCUUCUAACAAAAUCUAAAUCAAGAUUGAACUACUAACAUACUUAAGAGCAAACACUAGACAUGGGUUUUUUGGUUUGGGGGCAUUUCCACUCUCUUAUGCUGAUGGCUAGCACCUUUUGAAUAAGAAAGGCCGUUAUUCAAAGAGCAGCUGUCCCUCCAGUGCCCCUUCUUGACUUGGGCAGACCAUUUCCGUUCACUUUCCCUGAUGGCUGCCAGCUCUGUAAAUACGUCACGUCCCGUCAGAGUUGACCACAUGGAGGUUUCCUGUUUAGGAGGAACAAAAGGAAGACUCCCAUCUGCCUACCCUGUAGCUUACGAGUCUUAUCCCAAGACUAACCUGGGCUAAGAAAGAGGAGACUCGAGACUAGGGAGCAGGGAAGCAAUACUCCAUGACUCUAAGUCACACACUGCUUUUGUCUGCCAUUAGCGUCAGGAUUCAGCCACAUCGAAGAACACGAGAGAAGCUGCAGGCUUCCCUGGGAGAUGGCGUGCGGCGCACCAGCCCUGAGCCACCUUCUCCGCAGUCGGGAACCACGGGGCAAGCCUGGCAUGGCGCUCUCCAUGGCUGGGCCCAGCCCCCGGCGGGCCAGGCAGCGGAAACCGAGGCCAGGGAUACCUGUUUCCAUGGGGAUGCUGCUGACCCCGUUCAGGUGGGCGGUCGGUUGGCCACGUGGGCGCUCGCCCUGGGCCAGGAUGCCCUCCACGUUGCUGACUUUACAGCCGAUCCCACAGCCGGGCACCGCCUGGAAGUCCGUGCAGUAUCCCAAGGUCUCUGUGCCAAGCUCCUGGGAAGGAAAGUGGGGGAGAGGAAGCAGAAAACAGAGGUCAGAGGGGAAGGCUCCCCACUAACUGUGCCAACAGCCCACAGUCCUCUGGUCACUUCUGCUGCUUCCUCUCCGUCUCAGGAGUCCCCAGUGGAUGGAUUUCUCCCGACCUGGCUCCGAGACCCCCUUCGUCUUUGUAUCCCUUUGCACGAAGCGCUCGUGCGGGACUGAAUACGCCUGUCUUCCCCACCCGACCAUCAGCUCCCAGCAGGCAGAGCUCGCAUCUUAUGAGUUCUUACUCCCCUGAGCUCGGGAUGCUCAGGAAAUGCCUAAUGAAUGACCAUUAGCUCGUAACACUGAACUGCUUUGUGAAGAUCUGGAAACGUGACGAGGGACCUGCCGCUGUGCGCUGCAUCCCCACCUGCUCCAGGGGGCCUGCUCAGCAGUUUCCAGACCACACGAGCCAAGGCCUCUGUGGAGGCAGCUGACGUGGGUGCCAGGGGCAGCGAGGAGGAAAGGCGUGUGAGGAGGAAGGAGCCCGGAGUCUUCCAGCCCAGCUGAGGAGAGCGGGGGAGCCGGGGAAGCGAGGGCCCAGCAACGCCCAGUCCACCUACCUCUUUACAGUAUCUGGUGACUGCCACACCCAGGGGGUGCUCACUGCUGGCCUCCGCGGUCCCCACCACAGCGAGCACCUUCCGGAGGGGCAGCGUGGCCACGUCCACGAGCAGAAGGACCCGCAUGACUUUGGGGACCCCGUGGGUGAUGGUGCCAGUCUUGUCAAACAUCACAGUCUUUAUCUGCCCAAAAAACCACAUCUCAGUGACCAAAACACAGAUGGAAGGGACUCUCAGAGUCCUCACAAUCUCGAGGCAGAACUUCACUCAACCCACCCCAAGCAGGUCACAAUACACUCCUUCACGACACGCUACAGAAUCCUCUGCGUCCAGCCCAAGGCUCAACCACUCCCUCUGCCAAAACAUUGGUUCCCUCUCUGCCCAGUUAAAAGAAAAAUCCACACUCCGGCUUAACCUGGACCAAGGUGAGCCAGAAGCUCUCACCCUGAUGUAACAGGGAGGCAUCACCGUGCAGUAACGCCGUGCGGCCUCCUCCUCGGGUCGGGUCGGGAGCGUGACCCUGAGGGCUCUGCCCACCUCCCGGUCCACCGCUAUCUGCCGGGUCAACCACUGUUUCCUACGGCCUGCAUCAGUGCAAAAGCCUACGGAGAAUAGUGUUCUCGAAUUCCAAGUUCACAAAAGGAAGGGAGUGUUCCUUGGCCGUAAUAACAAGCAACCGCAGAGCUAGUCUGGGGACCUGUCCCCCUCGGUCAGCGGCAGCUUGGCACUGGUCCCCACGGGUCUGGGCUCAGCCAGUCGGAAGCAGCCACACUCGGCGCCUGAGCUUGCGUGGCCGGAGCCCAGCAGUUCCCUCGCUCCACGCUCCCCUGGACCUGGUACAAGGUCAGCCCUUGUUGCACUCAGACUGCGUGCCGCAGGCUCGGUUCUCCCUCAUUUAGCAAACGACAGCUCCGCUUCUUGUUUCUGACUGAGUGGGGCCUCUUCACCACUGUUAACCGGCCUUCCUCUGACAGUCCUGGCCAGCUUCUAGUCCAGCCCCCGCUCCGCCGCCAGGACGGUCUUCCUGCAGGCGCUUCACCCCCGCCCCUGCCCCCGUGUGUCCCUGCUGCUCUUGGUUAAGCUCUGGACCGGGACUGAAUAACCCUCCGAAGCCCUUCAGGGCCCCUCUCUCCCCUCCUUCCUCCUUCAGGACCCUCGUCUCCUGUCAGUUUCUCUCUCUUUCUGGCCCUCAUUUAGUUAUUGAGAAAAUAACUGUGGAGUGACUCCAACGUGCCAGGAGCGGGGCAAGAUGCCGGGGACACAAUGGCGGGGACGUGUUCACGGUCUCCAGUCCUACGGAGUCUGGGACCAGGCAGCACGGCCCCCCCCCGGGUCCUUUCCACGUGCUGGUCCCACGGCCGGGACACCCCUCCCAACCUCUGUUGUCAGCUGACAGGUCUCAGACCUCCCCUGAGCGCCUGCACCAGCGCCCACCCCAUCCAACACACACGGGUCUACGGUUAGGCCCCUGAGGAGCUGUCCUCACGGCAUCUCACACUCUCCACGGUGCCUGCUGCCUGCUUGCUCCACGUCUGUCUUUCCUGCUGGACAGGAAGGUCCUUGAGAGCCAGGGCCCAGCACAGGACCCACGCAGAGUAAACGCUCAACAGACACCGAAGAAAUAAAGGGAGGAUGGAAGGCUGGGGACUGCUGGGCUGAGGGGAGAUUCUCCAUAGACACUGCUACCCGCUACUCCACCCGAGGUCCCAGGACCCUCCCCGAUCACGCGGAGACAGCGCAGCUACUUUCCCCAGAGCCCGACCACCUGGCUGUGAGCCCGGAGCUGCACAUUUUAGCUGCAGGCCUUUGGCAAGUCGCCCAGCCCACUCCUGCUGCACUUCCCUCACCUGUAAAGUGGAAACAACCAGCACCCACCUCAGGGUUGUUGAUGAGAUUAAAUUAAUAUUUAUAUAGCACUUAGGUCUUUGACCGUGAGCUGCUGCCGGUCCUGUUGUCAUUCCCAGUUAGUCCUGGCUUCCUGCUUUACUUAAUUAGUAGUGCUACCCUCAGUCCUCUUUCAGGUUUUUCUCUGAAUAUGAAAUUUAAACAGGUACUAUUUUCACUAGGACU